rnacentral:misc_RNA from 1 species
GUGAGUCAUCGAAUCUUUGAACGCACAUUGCGCCUCCUGUAACAGGGAGGCAUGCCUGUCUGAGCGUCAUUUAAACCCAUGCCCCGGCAUCCUUUGUCGACGGCGUGCUGGGCCUUCAUUGACCUUCAUGGUCCCAUGUGGCCUCAAAGUCAUUGGUCUAUUUGAGCGGACGAGAUCCCCUAGGACAAGGACCGUUUGAUGGACCCUAAACCUCUGAAAUUGACCUCAGAUCAGGUGAGACAACCGCCUGAACUUAAGCAUAUCAAUAAGCGGAGGA